CACGUGUUUCGGAAAACCCACUUAGGCUACAGUGUGGAAAAUUGAUUGAAGUGGGGUGAGACUGGAUCCAGGAAACCGCCAGGUACCAAUUAUUUAUCGAAGUGAGGAGUGAUGAAUGCCUUCCGUAAGGUAGGGAUAGGAGGAAUGGAGAGGAGGCUCCAACAUGGGAAAGGAAAUUCAGGGGCUCCAUGACAGUCAAUGCAUAUGGGAUUUAGAAUGCAAUAGAAAGGUGGGAGUCUAAGAUGCCACUCAAAUUCUGGCUUGAUAACUGAGUAGAAAGCAGUACCAGUCACAGAGGAAGAGGCUGGGGAUGGAGGAGAGAAGGUGUGUUCACUUUGGAGCAUACUGAGUUAAGGAGCCUAAAGAACAGCCGAGAGAAAGGGAAGCC
rnacentral:lncRNA from 1 species